GGAGCUGUAGCUCAAUGGUAGAGCGGUUGUCUUAUAGCGGUUGUCUUAUACACAACUGGUUGGAGGUUCGAGUCCUCCCGGCUCCA
rnacentral:tRNA from 1 species